GCAGGCGGACUCUCAACCACCGCGCCACCAGAGAAGCCCUGAACAUAACAUUUUUAUAGAGCCUCAACAUGAGACAAGACCACGGAAGAUGCAAGGUUCUGAGUCCAACGUGAUGUUUGUCAUCAGGCCACAUCUCUGAGCCCAACUCUGCAUGGGGAAAAUUUUUAGGUGCUUUCUGCACAGAGACACAAAAGCCAGUUUCCAACAAGAGAUCUGGGGGUUGAGAUAACAGAACUAAUAAAGUGCUGACAAACCAGGAAGGAAGUGGAGAAAGUAGGACAGGAAAGGGAAGAAGUCAAGCAAGAAAUUUCAGGUGUGCAAUUUUCCCCUGGAGGAGCAAGAUCACUUCCAGUUGAGAAUGACUAAGAUGCCAGUCAACAUUCAAGAACAUUCUGAUUUGAAGACUCCGUUUCAUCCAUGAAAUGCAUUGUAGGAAUGACAUAAUUGUGCAUUUUGAGGAUUAUGGAGAAGAAUCUAGUGGGAUCAUGCAUGGGACAGCCUUUGUAAAAUGUAAGGUACGUAAAGAUGUAGAGAAGUUGUUUUCAUUUUCGAGUCUUCUCUCAGUAUAUGGCGGUCUCAAAUUACUAAGUAUUUCUAUUCCAUUGUACAGAUAGCUACUGAAAUCCUAAGACUUUCAUAAAACCUGAGUCAGGUAAGUGUUGAUGACGUCUCUUGAAUUUCACAAUCUCAGAAUUUGCUUCUAUAGCUUCUUAUCUUUUAUGCCAAUCUCUAAAUGUCCUCUUGCCCCUGUGACUAACACUCUGGAGCGCUCAAUUAUA